UGUGUCUGAGGGUGUUGGAAUCCUGAGUGCUCAGUCUCUGCCACAUAUCUCACGUUUAAUGUUCUUCUACAAAUGUACCUGUAUUGAUGAUGACUUCAGAAAUGGAUCUCAGAGGAGUCUGAAUGAAAUGACUGACAAAAUUACUUCUCAUGGAUCAAGUACUGUGUUUCAUAUGAAAGAGAGGUGACAUAAAGGACAGGAUUCAGAAUAAGUCUGCCUUUCCAUCCUUAAGGUCCAUUCUCAAACUGAUGGGAGUGACUUUGGAAUUGCAUGGAAUACUCACCACCAUAAAAAAGUGCUGAUUUUGUUGCUUUCACCUGUUCCCUCUCCUGGGAUGGAACAAAAUAAUGAACUCCAAAGUUCCACAGAUAUGGACCACUGGUUGAGUUUAAUAUGAAAGAGUUUAUCCCUCUUCUUGAGAGGUGACAUGAAGGAAAGUAUUGAAAAUAAUUUUACCAUCUCAUCCUCAAAUGCCAGUGGGAAUUGUAACAUCAGUUGGAAGUAAUAUUGGAAUUGCAUGGAAUUCUUACCACCCCACCAAAGAAGAGCUGGUUUUGUCACUUCUGCCAGCUCCUUAUCUAAGAAGAAAUCCAAUGAUGCACUCUCAAGAAUUUUUGCAUUUUCUCAGUCUUCCUACUAAUGCCUCAUACAGGAAUUAAGCAUGGAGAUGAAAGUAAAGCCAUUCCUCACCAGUGUGGCAGAGAGAAACUGUUUCUACUGAGGGGUGUGCUUGGCCAAAUGUACUGAAUCCUCAGCAGUGUGGCCUGGUGAGCACCACCCUGACAAUAGGAUGGGAAGUAUUUCAUGGUUGACAUGUUCCAAAAACUGGGUUUCAUAAGGAUGAGUUUAUCCCUUCCCCGUGAGAUGAGACAUGAAGGAAAGUGUUGGGAAUAAUUCUACUUCCCAUCAUCAAAGGCCUGUGUGAAUUCUCACAAAGGUGAUAGAGCCUAGAAGGAAAGGGAAACUGUCUAUGCUUUUGCCUUAACCUUUGAAUGUCAGUUCUAGAGAAGGAGGUGACAACUUACUUCUCAGCCAGUGCUCUCCCUUCCCACCUGUGGUCCUUUGGACACCCUCGCAGAAGAUGACUUCUUGGGAACUCUUUUGGGAAUGAAUGAUACCAGUAAAUCCCUGAAGCAAGAUUCUUCAGACAGAGCCUAUUCACCUACCUGUUGUCCAAGGGCUACCCUCUGAAGGUGAUGACCACAGAGACGAGGUGGAUUUGUUACUGUGGGUACCAUUACUUCUACCAUCAGCUUCUUCAAAACAAUGAUACAGUCUUCUUUGUGCAUGGAAACUCUUCUAUUUCCUGUGUUGCAGUGGAUUCCUCCUGCAGAUAAGAAAUGCUUAACUGAGAAAUGCUCAUGUUGGGAUAUCAUCGAUGAGACUUUAAUUUGGGCAUGGUGACUGUUUCCCUUGCUUCCACUUGACUCAAUCCCAGGAGCCUCAGUAGAGGAAAUAUUAUUGCACAAGAAACUCAGAAUGAUGGAAUUGCUCAGUGCUCCUAUAAAUAUACAUUUAUAAUUUUCAUUUGCCAUGUGGUAAAUUUAAAAAUUAAGUUCUAUUAAAAUUUUUUCAAAAAUUCAAAGCAUAUCUAAAUAUCUAAUAUAUAAAUUAAGUGCCCUCCUCUCUCCCAAUUCUAUCUCCUAGAGUUAUCCUCUAUUAAAUAAGUUGUGUGCAUUCUUUAAGUGGAUAGAUGCACACACACACAAACACACACACACAAGAUAUUUUGGGGGGUUCUGAAAGUGGAGCUAUAUUGUACACAUUAUUCUUCAAAUUGCAUUUCAUUUAACAGUUUUUUCAAUACCUUUUUCUGUUUCAGUAAUACAUAUCUGUGUCAUUUGUUGAAUGACUGCAUGAUUGUUUUGUUCAUGAAAUAUAAUUAAAUGUUUUAAGCAUUUCUCAUUCAUAGAUAUUUAUGUUAGCACCAAAUUUCUGUGCAAUGAACCUCUCUAUAUAUCAAUAAUUUGCAUUUGUCUAUUAUAUCAUAAUAAAUUACUCAGCAGUGAAAAUACUGGGAUUAAGUAUAUGCACAUUUCAAAUUUUGAAAAUGAUCACAAGAUUUCCUUUAAAAUGUGGUAACAACUUUAUCCUCAAAUGGCAAUGAAUGAGAUUGCCAGCUUUCCCACAACCUCACAGAUAAUGAAUUUUAUGACUAUUUAAAAUCUUUGCCAGUGUGAUAGCCCAAACUAUUGUCUUAAAUUGUAUUUCUUUCAUUUUUGAGUGUGAUCAUUUUUUCAUAUGUUUAUUAGCCAUCUGUAUUUUUAAAUUUUCUUUUUAUAUCCAAUUUUGGGGGUGGGUGGAGGUUUUAAUCUCUUGCUAAUUUCAGAGAGCUCAUUUAUUAUUGGGGGAAUAAGCUUUCGAUUGUCAAGCAUUACAGAUAUUUUUUACACACUUUUAAACUUCAUUUUUGUUAUAAGAAUGUGUAUGACUGUUAUGUGUCCAAGUAUAACCAUGUUCGCUUCUAUGGCUUCUGAGUUUCAUGUCAUUUUAGAAAGAUAUUUACACUGAUCCCAUAAAACUCUCCACCUAUGUUAACUUCUAAUUAUUUUGUGUUUUUUAAUUCAAAUUCUUAAAUCAUGAGAAAGUUUUUUUAUUUCAAAUCUUAAAGUUGCCAAGUUAUUUGCCAUUACUUGCGAUUAUUUGCCAAUAAUUGCCCAUUUAUCUGUAAUGCCAUCUUGCAUAUAUGCUGUAUUCUCAUCUGUGACUGGCUCCAUUUUUGUUCUGUGGGUCUGUGUGUCUUUUCUUCUGCCUCCUGUCUCAUGUGUCUUCUCAUUGGAAGAAAUUACAGUUUAGACUGCAAUUUCAUCAACUUCAAUAAAUUAAUUUAGUGGAGAAUUGGUUUUUAACAAUAGUCUUCCUAUCCAAGA